UCGAACGCGUUGGCCCAAUUGAUUGAUGGUGCUUGCACCUGAUUGAUUUUGGUCGCCAACGAGUGGCGGACGGGUGAGUAACACGUAGGUAACCUGCCCAGAAGCGGGGGACAACAUUUGGAAACAGAUGCUAAUACCGCAUAACAACGUUGUUCGCAUGAACAACGCUUAAAAGAUGGCUUCUCGCUAUCACUUCUGGAUGGACCUGCGGUGCAUUAGCUUGUUGGUGGGGUAAUGGCCUACCAAGGCGAUGAUGCAUAGCCGAGUUGAGAGACUGAUCGGCCACAAUGGGACUGAGACACGGCCCAUACUCCUACGGGAGGCAGCAGUAGGGAAUCUUCCACAAUGGGCGCAAGCCUGAUGGAGCAACACCGCGUGAGUGAAGAAGGGUUUCGGCUCGUAAAGCUCUGUUGUUAAAGAAGAACACGUAUGAGAGUAACUGUUCAUACGUUGACGGUAUUUAACCAGAAAGUCACGGCUAACUACGUGCCAGCAGCCGCGGUAAUACGUAGGUGGCAAGCGUUAUCCGGAUUUAUUGGGCGUAAAGAGAGUGCAGGCGGUUUUCUAAGUCUGAUGUGAAAGCCUUCGGCUUAACCGGAGAAGUGCAUCGGAAACUGGAUAACUUGAGUGCAGAAGAGGGUAGUGGAACUCCAUGUGUAGCGGUGGAAUGCGUAGAUAUAUGGAAGAACACCAGUGGCGAAGGCGGCUACCUGGUCUGCAACUGACGCUGAGACUCGAAAGCAUGGGUAGCGAACAGGAUUAGAUACCCUGGUAGUCCAUGCCGUAAACGAUGAGUGCUAGGUGUUGGAGGGUUUCCGCCCUUCAGUGCCGGAGCUAACGCAUUAAGCACUCCGCCUGGGGAGUACGACCGCAAGGUUGAACUCAAAGGAAUUGAC
rnacentral:rRNA from 1 species